AACGCGAAGAACCUUACCCAGACUUGACAUGCAGUAGACAGCGCUAGAAAUAGCGUCUCCCUUCGGGGCUGCUGCACAGGUGCUGCAUGGCUGUCGUCAGCUCGUGCCGUGAGGUGUUGGGUUAAGUCCCGCAACGAGCGCAACCCUUAUCAUUAGUUGCCAACAUUUCGGAUGGGAACUCUAAUGAGACUGCCUGGGUUAACCAGGAGGAAGGUGAGGAUGACGUCAAGUCCGCAUGGCCCUUAUGUCUGGGGCUACACACGUGCUACAAUGGUCGGUACAGAAGGCAGCGAAACCGCAAGGUGAAGCAAAUCCCAAAAGCCGAUCUCAGUUCAGAUUGUAGUCUGCAACUCGACUACAUGAAGACGGAAUUGCUAGUAAUGGCGUGUCAGCUACAACGCCGUGAAUACGUUCCCGGGCCUUGUACACACCGCAUAC
rnacentral:rRNA from 1 species